CCUACGGGAGGCAGCAGUGGGGAAUAUUGGACAAUGGGCGCAAGCCUGAUCCAGCAAUGCCGCGUGAGUGAUGAAGGCCUUCGGGUCGUAAAACUCUUUUACCAGGGAUGAUAAUGACAGUACCUGGAGAAUAAGCUCCGGCUAACUCCGUGCCAGCAGCCGCGGUAAUA
rnacentral:rRNA from 1 species